rnacentral:rRNA from 1 species
UGUGCCUACGGGACGCAGCAGUGAGGAAUAUUGGUCAAUGGGCGGGAGCCUGAACCAGCCAAGCCGCGUGAAGGAAGAAGGCGCCAGGCGUCGUAAACUUCUUUUGUCGGGGAACAAAGGGUGCCACGCGUGGCGUUGUGAGUGUACCCGAAGAAAAAGCAUCGGCUAACUACGUGCCAGCAGCCGCGGUAAUACGUAGGUGGCAAGCGUUGUCCGGAAUUACUGGGUGUAAAGGGAGCGCAGGCGGGAAGCCAAGUCAGCUGUGAAAACUACGGGCUUAACUUGUAGACUGCAGUUGAAACUGG